GUAUAAUAAUGAUGAUGACAAUUUUUUACCUAUAUGUCUUGACCAAGUCUCGUGCCAGCAGUCGCGGUAAUACGUGGAAGACUAGUGUUAUUCAUCUUUAUUAGGUUUAAAGGGUACCUAGACGGUAUUUCUAGCCCAAAAUAGGGUACGGAUUUACUAGAGUUUUAUGUGAGGAGGGGAGUACUCGUAGAGUAGAGAUGAAAUUUUGUUAUACUAUGAGGUAACUGGUGGCGGCGAAAGCAACCUUCUAUGUAUAAACUGACGUUGAGGGACGAAAGGCUUGGGUAGCAAAUAGGAUUAGAUACCCCUAGUAGUCCAAGCAGACAAUUCUGAAUGCCAUAGAUUAGAUUAUUUUUGGUCUAUAAAUGAAAGUGUAAGCAUUCCACCUUAGGAGUAAUGUGGCAACACAGGAACUGAAAUCAUUAGACCGUUUCUGAAACCAGUAGUGAAGUAUGUUAUUUAAAUUGAUGGUCCACAAAAAACCUUACCACAACUUGAAUAUUUUUAAUUAAUACAAGCGUUGCACGGCUGUCUUCAGUUAAUGUCGUGAGAUUUUGGUUAAC
rnacentral:rRNA from 1 species